rfam:Beta vulgaris subsp. vulgaris Bvchr1.sca002.con0172.1, whole genome shotgun sequence.
CAGGCUAUUCAUUCAAGCAAGAUGCAUCUUUCUUUUAGGGAGAUCAUUUCCUUAGAUCUCCACAGUUAAGCGUGCUUUGCCGGGAGUAGUUCAGGGAUGGGUGACCUCCUGGGAAGUUUUUUCGGGGUGCGCAUGA